AUGGGGGGCUCCCCCUCCAAUUUCAUUAGCAAAACCACCAUGAAUCCAGGUCCAGACCAGAACAGCCCUACCCAACUACUAAAAACCAUUUUGAAGCACUCCUCUGGUUUGAAGGAUAGAUACCUUUCUGGGAUCAAGUGCAUCCUAACUCACCUACCUGGCGUCAAGUUUGAUCCCACGGAUCAGGAGUUGAUCGAGCACCUUGAGGACAAAGUGAGUGCUGACAGCACGAGAUCUCAUCCUCUCAUCGAUUUGUUCAUACCAACCAUCGACAGCGAGCACGGCAUAUGCUACACCCAUCCUGAGAAACUUCCAGGUACCACACUGAGUGGCCUAAGCAAGCAUUUCUUCCAGCGCAACUCCAGGGCGUUCGAAAGGGGCACAUGGACGCAUCGCAAGAUACGGUCGGAGUGUGGCAUGCACGCGAUGUGGCGCAAGACUGGCAAUACCUUGCCGAUGAUGGUCAACGGCUGGCAGACGGGCAACAAAAAGGUUCUGGUGCUGCACACCAACAAGAACUUCGACCAGCAGAGGACCAACUAG
rnacentral:rRNA from 1 species